CACUUUAAGUGGACCAAAUUGACGAUGCACAUCUGCCCCAUAGGGUUACACUGCAGCCCGGUCUGUGGCUGCCGGUAGCAUGGUUUUAGCGUCAAUA